GGACGGGGACAACAGUUGGAAACGACUGCUAAUACCCGAUGUGCCGAAAGGUGAAACCUAAUUGGCCUGAAGAAGAGCUUGCGUCUGAUUAGCUAGUUGGUGGGGUAAAGGCCUACCAAGGCGACGAUCAGUAGCUGGUCUGAGAGGAUGAGCAGCCACACUGGGACUGAGACACGGCCCAGACUCCUACGGGAGGCAGCAGUGGGGAAUUUUCCGCAAUGGGCGAAAGCCUGACGGAGCAACGCCGCGUGAGGGAGGAAGGUCUUUGGAUUGUAAACCUCUUUUCUCAAGGAAGAAGUUCUGACGGUACUUGAGGAAUCAGCCUCGGCUAACUCCGUGCCAGCAGCCGCGGUAAUACGGGGGAGGCAAGCGUUAUCC
rnacentral:rRNA from 1 species